GGGAGUUGAGUUUUACCAACCAAAGUCAGUUCAGAGGCUUGUUAAUAUUCCUAAUGGAGAAAUACACUGAAAAGCAAUCAGAAGACAGCAGCAUUCCUGAACAAGAACCUCAGCCCUGAAAAGAAAAGCAAGGAUAGAAUAUUACAGCAGCCAAGUGGAGAAAUGUCUAAAUAGAUCAGCAGUAACACAGAUUAUCCUGUUAAGUCACCGUGCGACAUUAUUUACGUAGAAAAUACGGAGGCAUGUGCAUGGGGUCGGUUACCCAAGAAGCAAAGACAGCUUUUCUGCAAGAAUAUCAUUAAAGGAUCCUGUUAUGGACCUUCCAGAUUGCAUGGAAGAAGGGGGUGUGAGAAGAAGAAAAUGGAGAGACACUUCAAGGUUGCUGCACAUCACAACAUAACUAUUCAGACCAACGCCACAACAUCUUGGAGGUUCACAGGUUGAUCCACCCGGUCGGCAAAAUAAAAGCGGAGUGGGAGCAGCAGGAAAAACGGAGUCGAGCUAGCUUGAAGUAUUAGACACUGUCAGCACUGGUCAAAAAUAAACUUUCAUCCUGAUAAGUGUAUCCCCACAGCAAUGUCCUAUUUGUUUGCUAAUUAUCAGAUCCAGCAUGAGAUCUACAAGUAGAGGUAACCUAGAGAAAUAUUACAAUUUUUCUUAUUCACAAAUUUUAGUUAUUUCUCAUGAAAUGACAAGUGAACUGGAAACGGUCCUAAAAAAAGAAAAGAAAACAAAACAAAGCAAAAAGCAAAACACCUCUUAUUAAAUGUAGAAAGUGGACCCUGCAUCAGCAGGAACUUUAUUUCAAAAAGAAAACUACCAAAUGCAUGGAUGAAAUCUGUGUUAACAUAAGUAACAAAAGGACAAGGGCCGCUUUUUAAAAAAGUAAAAUAUAUGAAGUAUGCUGUAUAACCUUUAAAAUGUAAAGAAACAAACCAUGAAUUUAAAUACACAGUCCUUGAGAAACAUAAAAAGGAAAAAACACUCUCAUUUCUAUGCCAGCAGUCCCUCCAAACUUAAGAACCAUAAAUAUAUACAUACAUAUUAUAUAUAUUCUGGUAGUAAUGACUGUGUUUAAGAGUUUGUGCACACAUAAUUUGGCAUUAUAUAAUAAAACACCUUUUUUUAUUAACAGAAGCGAUUGUGGCUCAAAGCAACAAAAACUCAUGACUUAACACAUAUUUAAGAAUAACUGCUAUUCAGUACACUGAGGUUUGGCCACCUUCUGCUUGCACUGGUAACAUAACAAAUUCUUAGAAAAAUGACCUCAAUUUACAUGUGAUCACAAAAUACUGGUCUUUGUUGUUGGAUUUUCAAUUAAGUUGCCUUUUUCUCUUGAUAAUAACUAUGCAUAAAUCAGCAGAUUUAGGACAUCUACUUUGGUAGGUAUAAGUAUCUACUUAAAUUCUUUUACCGAAAGCCCCAGUUCAAUAGGUAAAUACAAUUUUCAUUUAGAGAGCUUGUAAUAGUCAGUAUUAAAAGCCUUUGCUUCAAUUUUUAGAGAAAGUCCUGUUUAUAUUUAACCUAUGCUUUAGGAUUUUUCAGGUCAAAUAUGUUUCAGAGAUCCUCCAAAAUCACAGAGAAAGGACUCAUACAUUGUCUGCUCUUAAUUGGUUCAUACAAGGCAACUUACUGAUUUUUAAAGCACUAUUUAUCAUUUUUUCACUAUGACUCAGAGCAAUAAAUGUGUUUUUACAUUUCAACCAAUUACACAUGUGUACACAGAAUUCAGAAACAAACUUACCCACACUCCAUCUUCCAUCUUUUCCUAUUAAAAAUGAAUAAUGCUCCCUUGCCCAGCCAGCUAUAUUGAUUUUACAACCCACUGCUGGAUUCAGAACCUGAUAUAAAAAGAAGUUCCCUACGCAUCUUUUUUACUUUUUAUUUUUUUCCCCUUUUCCCUUUACCAAGGGUAACACUUCCCAGCAGUAAUACACGAUCUCACUUGUAAGCCUUGAUUUGGGGGCCUGGGGGUGUUACUUAGAAUGGGAUCUCAGAUUCGGAGACACCUUCCAUCAUGCCCUCCAUGGCACUGUUAUCUGAGGUAACAAUCUCACAAAGAAAUACACAUCGAGAAAUAAACUGUAGUUUCUCUGUUGCUGUUGUUUAAGAAUAAAAAUAGAUAUGUAAGCAAAAUGGACAUUCACACCAUGUCGGUCGGUCUAAAGUGAGUAAUGCAUUCUUACUGUAAUGAGUUUUUAGCGUAUUUAAGAUGUAAUUCUAAUUAGUUCAAUUUUUACUAAAUGUAUUUGGAGGAGCUGUCACCUGGUAAAGACUCCAGCAACAUGAAUGGAUCCAUAAUCUUUUCUACAAUCCAGAGGGGCCCAUGGCUGAGCAAGUAACAGGCCAGGAGAAGGGAGAAGCUACUAAUCAUCGCUCUGGGGAGAAGACUGAAUAAUUGAAACAAAUCACAACAGUAAAGCAAUCCUCCUGGGCAAAAGCACAGAAACUAAGCACAGUGAGCCACACACCUCCUAUGUGCCUGGGGAUCCUUCCUGGGAUAGCCUCCCCACCUCUCACCGGAAGCCCCUCACCAGGAAACGGUCAACACUCACAGCAUGCCCAGGACCUUGGCAAGUAUAAUACAGGCUGGGGUAAAGAAGUUUGCUAUUUCAGAGUUCUGGUUCCACUGGUUCCACGUUGUGAUCGCCAGUUACUUCAGAUACAAAUAAAUCUAUAUGCUCUAAGAAGUGGGGAAAAAAGGUUGGGGUGGGAGGCGGGUGAUGAAGACUAGAAAUGUGAGGGAAGAAGGAAAGCAAUACUGGAAAUAACCGCCCGUAUUCCCUUCGGGUAGAAGAAAAGUAUUUAGAGACUCACAAGACUGGACACGGAAGUACGACUACAUUUCCUCUAGAAUUCUAAUUGGAUGAAAUGUCAGUCUGGCCUAAGGAAUACUUGCAUAUCUGGGCUUCCCGCUGUACAUCUGGCAAAGAGCUAUGACUUACGGUCUUCCCAGCUACCUGCCCCUGGAUUUAUCACCACUGUGUUGGCUCCUUCUGGGCCCGUGGAUGUGCCCGCUCCACCCCCUCCCCUCAUGAGUCUAGACGUUAUGUUGCAGUGGUUCAAGCCCUGGCCUGCUGGUUCGUACACAGCAUCCCUUCGGCAAGAUUCAAUGCUAUGGAAAGACAAAAUCCAAGACAUCUAUGUCACAGUGAAGAGACCCUGGAAAGGCCUCCCUCUGUAUGACAUUGAGCAGUUAACUGCAUUCUAAUGAAAAAGGAAACAAGAUUUUUGUUUUGUUUUGUUUUAUUUUGCUUGUACCCCUACCACAAAUUUAGCAGAUACAAUACACUUACCAUGUAAUGCAUGGGUAUGGCCACCUCUCAGGAUUGUAUUUAAAGUGAUUUUAUCUGGGGUGCCUGGGUGGCUCAGUCAGUUAGGCGUCUAACUUUGGCUCGGGUCAUGAUCUCAACGCUCCCGAGUUCGAGCCCCACUUUGGGCUCUGUGCUGACAGCUCAGAGCCU